CCCAUCCAACCAUGAUGUAAACUGGUUUGUCAUCUGAUUUCUUUGAGUCUGGUGGAUAUGGAUGUAACCAUACUACAAGGCAGGACAGUUUUCUGCAUCCAGCUUGAGGCUUGGUACCAGCAGGAAUAUGGAGCACUCUGUUAGUGAGUCUGCUGAGCUAUGGAACUCCAGAGCAGCACCCUGCCACCCUGUUUUCAGCUAUCUGCAGACAGUUCCCUGAGUAAGGAUGCAACUAUCAAGGCCUUCAAAUUAUGACAAAAUGCAAUAAAGUUAUGUAUAAACAUUUUUUUAUUUUUUUAUUGUUAUAUUGAAAACAAUAACUUUUUUUGCAUGUUUUUUAGCAUGUUUGUUCUAUGGUAACUUAAAACAUCAAGACAACACUUAUGAUUCAAAAGGUCUAAAGGAAAUGCAAGCCUCAUGUCCAGAAUGAAUACAGUUUUUAUUCAUGUAUCAGACAUCACACAGGUGUGUCAACUAAAAUAUAUAUCCCAG
rnacentral:lncRNA from 1 species